UACGGGGGGGGGCAAGCGUUGUUCGGAAUUAUUGGGCGUAAAGAGCUCGUAGGCGGUCUGUCGCGUCUGCUGUGAAAAUCCGGGGCUCAACCCCGGACUUGCAGUGGGUACGGGCAGACUAGAGUGUGGUAGGGGGAGACUGGAAUUCCUGGUGUAGCGGUGAAAUGCGCAGAUAUCAGGAGGAACACCGGUGGCGAAGGCGGGUCUCUGGGCCGAUACUGACGCUGAGGAGCGAAAGCGUGGGGAGCGAACAGG
rnacentral:rRNA from 1 species